UACGUAGGGUGCAAGCGUUAAUCGGAAUUACUGGGCGUAAAGCGUGCGCAGGCGGCUUUGCAAGACAGAUGUGAAAGCCCCGGGCUCAACCUGGGAAUGGCAUUGGAAACUGGCGGGCUGGAGUGUGGCAGAGGGGGGUGGAAUUCCGCGUGUAGCAGUGAAAUGCGUAGAGAUGCGGAGGAACACCGAUGGCGAAGGCAGCCCCCUGGGCUGACACUGACGCUCAGGCACGAAAGCGUGGGGAGCAAACAGG
rnacentral:rRNA from 1 species